rnacentral:rRNA from 1 species
AUGGCGGCCGCACUUCUCGCCGCCGCGCCCUCGCCUCUCCCGCCGGCAUCCUGGAGACGGAGGCCUCUCCUCGCGGCCCCGCCGCCCGCUCUCCGCUGCCUCAGGGCUCCAGCCUCCGCUCCUCCCGGAAUCUCCCCGACUCCCCGCAAGGCUCUCGCCCCCGUCGCCAGAGCCGCGCGCGCGGCGGCGCCGGCGCGAGGCGGGUCUGACGAGACGGCGGAGCGCGAUUGGGGCGCGCUUGCGGGGCGGCUGGCGCUGGGCGCGCUCCUGGGGUCCGCCGCCCUGCUCGGCUGCCGCGGCGCGGCACUCGCGGCGGCCGAGGACUCCAUCAAGGCCUCCGGGUUCGGGCUGCGGGUCGCGGCGUCGCUGCGGAGCGUCGGCUGGCCCGACGACGCCGUCGUGUUCACGCUGGCCACAUUGCCGGUGCUCGAGCUGCGCGGAGCGAUUCCGGCCGGGUAUUGGAUGCGCCUUCACCCCGUCCGGCUGACCGUCCUGGCAGUUUUGGGGAACAUGGUGCCUGUGCCAUUCAUCAUCCUCUACCUGAAGAAACUCGCAACCUUCCUCUCGCAGAGAAGCGCUUGGGUGACCCGGAUAAUGGACCUCCUCUUCAAGCGGGCGCGACGGAAGGCUGCGCCCGUCGAGGAGUUCCAGUGGCUCGGGCUGAUGCUGUUCGUCGCCGUCCCGUUCCCAGGCACCGGAGCAUGGACCGGUGCCAUCAUCGCGUCCGUCCUGGGCAUGCCGUUCUGGUCAGGCUUGUCCGCCAACUUCGUGGGAGUCGUCCUCGCAGGUUUGCUGGUAAACUUGCUCAUGAACCUCGGUCUGAAGUACGCCAUUGGCACCGGCGUGCUUCUCUUCAUUGUAUCAACUGUCAUGUGGAGUGCCCUUCGGGGUGUGAAGAAGUCGUUGAAUACGAAAUGA